CCUGUUCGAGCGUCAUUACACCACUCAAGCUAUGCUUGGUAUUGGGUGCCGUCCUUAGUUGGGCGCGCCUUAAAGACCUCGGCGAGGCCUCACCGGCUUUAGGCGUAGUAGAAUUUAUUCGAACGUCUGUCAAAGGAGAGGACUUCUGCCGACUGAAACCUUUUAUUUUUCUAGGUUGACCUCGGAUCAGGUAGGGAUACCCGCUGAACUUAAGCAUAUCAAUAAGCGGAGGAAAAGAAACCAACAGGGAUUGCCCUAGUAACGGCGAGUGAAGCGGCAACAGCUCAAAUUUGAAAGCUGGCCUUCGGGUCCGCAUUGUAAUUUGUAGAGGAUGCUUUGGGUGAAACGCCAGUCUAAGUUCCUUGGAACAGGACGUCAUAGAGGGUGAGAAUCCCGUAUGUGACUGGAAAUGUUAACCUAUGUAAAGCUCCUUCGACGAGUCGAGUUGUUUGGGAAUGCAGCUCUAAAUGGGAGGUAAAUUUCUUCUAAAGCUAAAUAUUGGCGAGAGACCGAUAGCGCACAAGUAGAGUGAUCGAAAGAUGAAAAGCACUUUGGAAAGAGAGUUAAAAAGCACGUGAAAUUGUUGAAAGGGAAGCGCUUGCAAUCAGACUUGUUUAAACUGUUCGGCCGGUCUUCUGACCGGUUUACUCAGUUUGGACAGGCCAGCAUCAGUUUCGGCGGCCGGAUAAAGGCUCUGGGAAUGUGGCCUUCACUUCGGUGAAGGUGUUAUAGCCCGGGGUGUAAUACGGCCAGCCGGGACUGAGGUCCGCGC
rnacentral:rRNA from 1 species